rnacentral:ncRNA from 1 species
UUAAAGACUUUGAAGGAACAUAAGUAAAUUAUAUUAAAUGUUAUAGAAAGCUUAUGGUUGAUGGAAAUAAGCCAUUGAUAUAAUAGAAAUUGGGGUUCUGGAGUUACAAAAGGCACAAGUCUUUUGUCGCUAAUCGCGUUAAAAUCAAGAGCGUAUAUUUUAUACGAAUUAAGGUGGUACCGCGUUUAUAACGUCCUUUUU